UCGGGAAUUUUGUGCAAUGGGCGAAAGCCUGACACAGCAACGCCGCGUGAGUGAAGAAGGCCUUCGGGUUGUAAAGCUCUUUCGGACGGGACGAAAUGGUUAGCGUGAAUAACGCUGACUGAUGACGGUACCGUAAUAAGAAGCACCGGCUAACUACGUGCCAGCAGCCGCGGUAAUACGUAGGGUGCGAGCGUUGUUCGGAAUCAUUGGGCGUAAAGGGCGUGUAGGCGGUAUGUUAAGUCAUGUGUGAAAUCCCUCGGCUCAACCGGGGAACGACGCAUGAAACUAGCAAGCUAGAGUACCAAAGAGGGUGGUGGAAUUCUCGGUGUAGCGGUGAAAUGCGUAGAUAUCGGGAGGAACACCUGUGGCGAAGGCGGCCACCUGGUUGGAUACUGACGCUGAGACGCGAAAGCGUGGGGAGCAAACAGGAUUAGAUACCCAAGUAGUCCCUGAGCGGGCUGGCAAGGCGCAU
rnacentral:rRNA from 1 species